rnacentral:rRNA from 1 species
UGGGGAAUAUUGCACAAUGGGGGAAACCCUGAUGCAGCGACGCCGCGUGGAGGAAGAAGGUCUUCGGAUUGUAAACUCCUGUUGUUGAGGAAGAUAAUGACGGUACUCAACAAGGAAGUGACGGCUAACUACGUGCCAGCAGCCGCGGUAAAACGUAGGUCACAAGCGUUGUCCGGAAUUACUGGGUGUAAAGGGAGCGCAGGCGGGAAGACAAGUUGGAAGUGAAAUCUAUGGGCUCAACCCAUAAACUGCUUUCAAAACUGUUUUUCUUGAGUAGUGCAGAGGUAGGCGGAAUUCCUGGUGUAGCGGUGAAAUGCGUAGGUAUCAGGAGGAACACCGGUGGCGAAGGCGGCUUACUGGACUGUAAAUGACGCUGAGGCUCGAAAGCGUGGGGAGCAAACAGGAUUAGAUACCCUGGUAGU